UGGGGAAUAUUGGACAAUGGGCGAAAGCCUGAUCCAGCCAUGCCGCGUGUGUGAAGAAGGUCUUCGGAUUGUAAAGCACUUUAAGUUGGGAGGAAGGGCAUUAACCUAAUACGUUAGUGUUUUGACGUUACCGACAGAAUAAGCACCGGCUAACUCUGUGCCAGCAGCCGCGGUAAUACAGAGGGUGCAAGCGUUAAUCGGAAUUACUGGGCGUAAAGCGCGCGUAGGUGGCUUGUUAAGUUGGAUGUGAAAGCCCCGGGCUCAACCUGGGAACUGCAUCCAAAACUGGCAAGCUAGAGUACGGUAGAGGGUGGUGGAAUUUCCUGUGUAGCGGUGAAAUGCGUAGAUAUAGGAAGGAACACCAGUGGCGAAGGCGACCACCUGGACUGAUACUGACACUGAGGUGCGAAAGCGUGGGGAGCAAACA
rnacentral:rRNA from 1 species